rnacentral:rRNA from 1 species
CGAACGCUGAAGGCCCAGCUUGCUGGGUUGGAUGAGUGGCGAACGGGUGAGUAACACGUGAGUAACCUGCCCCCUUCUUUGGGAUAACGGUCGGAAACGGCUGCUAAUACCGGGUAUUCACUGUCCUUCGCAUGGGGGGUGGUGGAAAGGUUUUUUCUGGUGGGGGAUGGGCUCGCGGCCUAUCAGCUUGUUGGUGGGGUGAUGGCUUACCAAGGCUUUGACGGGUAACCGGCCUGAGAGGGUGACCGGUCACAUUGGGACUGAGAUACGGCCCAGACUCCUACGGGAGGCAGCAGUGGGGAAUAUUGCACAAUGGGCGAAAGCCUGAUGCAGCGACGCCGCGUGAGGGAUGACGGCCUUCGGGUUGUAAACCUCUUUCGCUCAUGGUCAAGCCGCAACAGUGGUUGUGGUGAGGGUAGUGGGUAAAGAAGCACCGGCUAACUACGUGCCAGCAGCCGCGGUAAUACGUAGGGUGCGAGCGUUGUCCGGAAUUAUUGGGCGUAAAGGGCUUGUAGGCGGUUUGUCGCGUCUGCCGUGAAUCCUCUGGCUUA